GAGGCAAGCAGGCAAGCAGGCAGAGGCAUGCAGGGGCUUUGUAGCGCUGCCCUGAUGUAAUGUAAAUAUAGAGGUGACAAUUAUUAGUGUGGGAAAGAGGAUGUGUUCAUCAGAGCCAGGAACCACUCCUCUUUCCCCAAUUCUGUAGCUAAUUCAUGUUGUAAAAUCCGCAGAAAUUCUUCAGUCAUCAUCUGCAGAAGUUUCUCCAUUUGCAACUGUUUGUACGUGCUGACGUGGCGUCGAGCAGAGCUAAUAUACACGAUGAUGAUGAUUAUUGUUAUUAUGAUGAUGAUGUUGUGGUGAGGAGCUCUCCUAGGUGGAGUGGCGGACAGCACAAAGGUUGCUGUCGCCGGCCUGGGUUCAAGUCUCCUCAUUCUCCUAUAAGAAUAAGACAGGGGGCUUCUUUCCCUCUGUUCUCAUUAUUUUUUUUGAUGAUGAUGUUGUGGUGCAAUAUUGUCUGAUACAGUUGUGAUAUCAUGUUGAUGCAUGUUGUGGUGCAACAAUUCUGAUACCACCAUUUCUCUGGCAUCUACCAAAAUUCUGGCCAUGAAUCAUGUGGAAAGGGUUAGUAUCAGGUAAAGUGGCAUCAUGCGUGAAUUUAAUCGGGG
rnacentral:lncRNA from 1 species